rnacentral:piRNA from 1 species
UGUCUUUCUUCCACUGGAUGGUUUUA